AAUCAUCAACCCCACCGAUUUGUUUCGGCUUGGGGCUUGGACUUGGAGCGUGCUGGCGAAGGUCGGCUCCUCUUUAAAUGCAUCAGCGGAAGAAUGCAUCUUUUUUCCCUUCAGCGUGAUAAUCCUGUUGCGCUGUGUGUGGGUCAAAGGUGUUCCGCUUAUAAUCGUCCUUCGGACAAACGAACCCAUCUAU
rnacentral:misc_RNA from 1 species